AGCUCCAUUAGCGUAUAUUAAAGUUGUUGUAGUUAAAAAGCUCGUAGUUGGAUUUCGGUUCGGGUCGGGGCGGUGGCGUCGCGAGACGUCUACCUCCCGGCCAGUCUCUCUUCCCGAAGACUGCGUGUGCUCUUCAGUGGGUGCGCGUCGGGACUCGGGACGUUUACUUUGAAAAAAUUAGAGUGUUCAAGGCAGGCUCGCCAGCUUGAAUACAUGAGCAUGGAAUAAUGGAAUAGGACUACGGUCCCUAUUUCGUUGGUUUGACGGACCGAAGUAAUGAUUAAGAGGGACAAUUGGGGGCAUCCGUAUUUCGUAGUCAGAGGUGAAAUUCUUGGACCUACGAAAGACGAACAACUGCGAAAGCAUUUGCCAAGAGUGUUUUCAUUAAUCAAGAACGAAA
rnacentral:rRNA from 1 species